ACAGCUGCGUGGUUUCAGACUCCGAUAUAAAAUAGACGCUGCACGUAUAAGGUUUUUCAAUCAUUGAGAAAAUCGUUGCUAGAACAUUACGAUCUACACACUGAAGAUGAAAGCCAUUAUCGCCGCUGUCGUUGUUGUCGUUACCGUUUGCUAUUUUAUUGUUACAGCUAGUGCCAACCCAAUCGGAUGUAUGUGUAUCACGGCGCCUUGCCCAUGCGCAUAAUAUAUUCACCAGAGUCACGUGAAAGAUAAUGUAGGAAAACUGUAUCAAAGGUCCUCAAAGUGUGACAACAAUUGUGUUAUGUAUCUGUACAAAUACAAUGCGCAUGGUAGUGUGUCACUCGUUUGCUAGUAUAUGAUUGUGUCGUUGCGAAAUAAAGGAAAC